rnacentral:rRNA from 1 species
GACGUAGGGUGCAAGCGUUGUCCGGAAUUAUUGGGCGUAAAGAGCUCGUAGGCGGUUCAUUGCGUCAAUCGUGAAAUCCUGUGGCUCAACUACAGGCUUGCGGUUGAUACGGGUGGGCUGGAGUUCGGUAGGGGAGACUGGAAUUCCUGGUGUAGCGGUGAAAUGCGCAGAUAUCAGGAGGAACACCGGUGGCGAAGGCGGGUCUCUGGGCCGAUACUGACGCUGAGGAGCGAAAGCGUGGGGAGCGAACAGG